rnacentral:tRNA from 1 species
GCUUGGGUAGCUCAGUUGGUUAGAGCAUCUGCCUGAAGAGCAGAGGGUCGGCGGUUCGAAUCCGCCCCCAAGCA